UGUCGCGCUCAUUAAGGAUCACCACUAAUCAAGAUGGAUCAAUACGCUGAGUUGCAGGUGUCCAGGAUAUUUCCCUCGAUUACAGUGAAAGUGUGCACAUUGUUGAAUGUGUUCGCUAGGGGAAGAAAAGGUAAAAGAAUCAAGAGAUACAAAUGUUCUAAUGUGGUUGAUUGUUUUUUGCCCGCUGCUCAGAGGACAGAAUAACUGGCUGCAUUUGGACCGUAAAGUCCUGGACCAUAACUUUUCCAAGACAUCCGGUCCUUUGGAGCUCAGGUUCCUUGUGAGGAGACCAUCGAAGCGGAGAGCGUAAACAUUUUCAAGUUAGCCGCAUUCGCAUUGCAGGAGGCCAAAGGA